GAUGGGGUAAGAGCAAGUAUAAUUUUAGAUACAUGCUGAAAUAUAUCUAUAAUAAUAAAAGGGUAAUAUGCUAAUUAGACCAGAUGUCCUUCUGGACGUCCUUCCACAUGAAGCCAGGGCCAGAGCGAAGCCCAGGUCCCAGGUGCCUGCCAGCAGCCAGAGGGAAGCAGCCGGGUCCUGGCCCAGGUCCCAAGUGCCAGAGGGAAGCCGAUGCCGGCAGCCAGGGGAAGGAAGGCCUACUCUUGCACGAAUUUUUGUGCAUUGGGCCUCUAGUACAGAUAUAAUAAAGGGAAAGGAGAAAAGAACCAGGCAAAAAUAAUAGAAAUUGAAUAAGCUACAAAUUUUAGGAAAAAUAUGAGUAAGGAUAGCAAAUUCUGAGUCCACUGCUAAAGUAAGCAUUCAAGUGAAGGAACAUUUCUGAAAUUCCCCUGUGUUAUUUAUUUUAAGUUUGCUUGGGUAACAUUCACCAAGUUUUGUUGUGUGUGAUAUUGCCCAACUAUCAGUUUACUUUCCCUUUCACCCAGCUUUAAACUGGUUUGCUGACAAUGAUACCUUUUUUUAAAGUGAAAGAGCAUUUUGGGUCAGGUUGUUGAGAUGAAUAUUAGAUAGGCUGGUGCAAUAAAGAAAUCCAGUUGAUAUACAAUAUUAAUAUGUCAAGAUUUCACUGUGGUAUUUUUAAUGGUAUAGUGAUGAGAAAGAAAGUUGUCAGAUUAUGUUUUGUAUGAUCAAAAUUUUUACUUUUAAAACAAGUGUGUAUGUAUAGAGUAUAUGUUGUAUGUAUCAUAUAGUUUUAUACCCACAGAGAAAAAGAAAUGGAAGAAGGCACACCAAAUUGCCAGCUGCAAUGUACAGGCACAGGAAAUGGGGUGGAUACUGUUUCAUUUUAUAUGCUUCUAUGAGCUUUUGAAAAUAAAAAAUAAAAUAUUAAAAUUGUAUUUUUAAACAUUUGUUUCAAAAUGACCGGUUUUCGUUUUAUACGUUUACAGGAGGAUCUAUGAAACAUGACCUUAACUUCUCUUAUAAAGUAGGUGAUAGAGUAGGAAGAGCCCUGGAUUUUAACUUUUUAAAAUAUAUUUUAUUGAUUUUUUUACAGAGAGGAAGGGAAAGGGAUAGAGAGUUAGAAACAUCGAUGAGAGAGAAACAUCGAUCAGCUGCCUCAUGCACACUCCCUACUGGGGAUGUGCCCGCAACCAAGGUACAAGCCCUUGACCAGAAUCGAACCCGGGACCCUUGAGUCCGCAGGCCAAUGCUCCAUCCACUGAGCCAAACCGGUUAGGGCAAGCCCUGGAUUUUUAGUGCAGACACCUUGGUUUAAAACCAGGCCUAUUGGACCCAGAUUGAUUUGUAACACAUUGCGGACAGAUCACGAGAAUCUCGCUUCAUAUUACACAGUGUUUUACAAAGUAUCAUACUUUAAAAAGAUAUUAGCUUGUAAGACCAUGUAAUAAAUAACUUCAAAAUGCAAUGGGUAUUUAAUAUUAAAGCAUGCCUUUAACACUUAUGUAAAAUGUUUUUUGUACUCGUUCAAUAGAAACUUAUCUGGCUACUGAGUAAGCUAGCAAUAAAACUACUGGUCCACAAUGUGUUAAGCAAGAAGUUCAUCUUAAAGAGUCUGUUUCCUUGUUGGAAAAAUGUGGGUGCUAUUGUGAUAUUUGUAUAGGGUAGUGUAUGUGAGGUCACUUUGAAAAUGAUAAUGCAAUAUUGAAGCAUAAUAAAUAUUCAUGUUCAUUCCUAUGGUAAUAUUAUUUGUUAAGGAAGUUAAAUAUUAACAAUUUCUAAUGUUAAAAAUUUAUUUAUAUUGUUUUGUUUCUCAUGGCACUAUUGCUUAACCCAGGACUGAACACCCUGUCAACCUAAAGGAGAGAGCAAGUACAGUAUGUUUAGCUAUAUUUAAACAAAGAUGAAAUAGAAGACUGAACUGUUAAAAUAUGCAAGUUUUAUUGUGCACCUAAAGAAAGGAUUCCGCUCUGUUGUACUGGUAUUCUUAAAAAUGUCUCAAUUCUGUGAAAUUCCCUCACUGUGGAAUUUUCUUUCAAUACAUUGAACAACCCCUGAUUUCCUCAUGAAAAUCUGAUCUGAAAGUAAAUUUACAGAAGUACUAAAAACGAAUUUAAAGUUAAAUGGGAACAUUUGUAUACUAAUAGGAUACAAUAUUGUUUAUUCUCAUUUUUCCAUUUUAAAGACUACUCUGAACUUUAAAUCUUUUAAAUAAAUGAGACUGAAAUCCAA